CAGACUCAUGGAACAGGGGCUCAAAGAAUGUAAAGAAAAUUGCAUUAUUUGUCAGCUUAUGUUGAAAGGAGUGAAGACACUGAAUUCAAGCAAACCUAAAGAUAAAUGCUAAGGACAUUUUAAUGGCUGAUGAGGGCAAUGCCCAAUGAAUGAACACUUCAUCAUCCUGAAAUCUGAGUAGGUAAUAUUACGGCAUUAUGUACUCAUUUUGUAAAAUAAUUAUUUGCUUGUUAAACCCUUUCCUAGGUAGUAG
rnacentral:lncRNA from 1 species